UACGAAGGGGGCUAGCGUUGCUCGGAAUCACUGGGCGUAAAGGGUGCGUAGGCGGGUCUUUAAGUCAGGGGUGAAAUCCUGGAGCUCAACUCCAGAACUGCCUUUGAUACUGGGUAUCUCGAGUCCGAGAGAGGUGAGUGGAAUUCCGAGUGUAGAGGUGAAAUUCGUAGAUAUUAGGAAGAACACCAGUGGCGAAGGCGGCUCACUGGUCCGGUACUGACGCUGAGGUGCGAAAGCGUGGGGAGCAAACAGG
rnacentral:rRNA from 1 species